AUUAUGAAAUGUAGCAUUUCCUUUUUUUGAUAUGAUUGGAGAGUUAGUGGGAAAGAACAAGGCAAUUGGAAAAGGUGUUGAGACUUUUGAUUAUGCCAUAGAGAACAUGGAAAAAGAAAUGACAGUUGACCUUGAUAAAGAUGACUUGUUUGAAGAUACAACUGGAAAUCAUUCAACAAGUCAACCUACAUCUCAUUUUACCUUCAAAAGGCCAAAGCACCAAAAAAAUUCUAAAGAAAAGAAACUGAAAGGUUCUCAUGAUGAUAACAUGCCUGCUAAUUUCAACAUGUUUAUUGAACAAAUGAAUACACACUUGGGCGUCAUUGCAAAUAUGUGGGUAGAUCAACAUGCAAUAGAGAAAGAAAUAGUAGAUAAGAAUAAGAGUGACCGAGCAAAAGAAAAUGGUGGUAAAUAAAUUGCUUGAAAUUGAAAGUUUGACUAAAACUGAAGUUAGUUAUAAGUCUUACAGGGGGAAUAGGAUUUUAAAGCUUUCUCAAGGUGCCAGUAGUAGUAGUAGUCUUAUGAGACGAAGGGAUUUUGAUUUCCAAAUUUUGUUUCUAAAAGUAAGUUAACACUCUUCCUCUUGAAAUUUUGAUCUUGCUUUCCUUCAUAGCUCUUGGAUGAAUUGCAUGCAAAAGCAAUUUUUUUUCAAUCUCUUUUUUUUUUGGGCGGG
rnacentral:misc_RNA from 1 species